AUGGCCAUCUCAUUCUUGAAGAUCAUCCUCAUAGCGAGCACGGCCGCGGCGCUCGCCGCCGGUGGAGCAGCAGCUUCUCCUCCGGCUCCGGCGCCGAUGGGGAUGCCGGGAUGCCACACCAUAUGUGGCAACAUCAGCGUGCCGUACCCGUUCGGCAUGGGACCGGCCAGGUGCUACUGGCCGGGGUUCAAUCUUACCUGCGACAAUACUACCACCCCGCCGCGGCUCCUACUCGGCGGCGAAGGAGGCAUCCUCCAAGUGCAGUAUUUCAGCCUCUUCGAGUCGUCGGUGCUCGUCAAACGCACCCCCGGCGACGUAAAGAUCGACCGUGACGGCAACGGCUCAAUAUUCUCCGGAGGGCCUGACCACGGGACCUACAAGAUCAUGAUCUCAGACGACUGGUCAGGCGGCGGGAACGAACUCGUCGUGUUGGGAUGCAACGUGCGAGCGACGCUGAAACACGGCAACGCCACUGUCAGCGCCUGCUCCACCCUGUGCGGCGACGACCAACCCCCUGAGCCCAUGUGGUCCGUACCGUCCAGGCUCGAGAGCAGCAUGGUUUGCACCGGGCUCGGCUGCUGCCAGGCGGCCAUCGUCGCCGCGGCAGCGGCUAUCGGCGAGGUCCGGGUGCAGCUAGAGUGGUUCGGCCGGAAUCGCAGCGCCGACGAGGAACGGAUGCCCACGCGCAUGUUCGUCGCCAAGGAGGGGUGGUUCGAGAAGAAACACGUUUCCGAACCACUGCUGCUUCAGAAACCGUCGGCUAUGGGAGCAAUGGGUAUCCCCGUGGACUACGGCGUUCCCGUGUGGCUCAGCUGGGAGGUCGACACCAACAUUUCUUCUUCCCAUGGGCAUGGCCACGUCGUAUGCGACCAGGGUACACGAGGAGGAUAUGCAUGCCGCUGCGACAUUUACUACGAAGGCAACCCCUAUAUCCCCGACGGAUGCCAAGAUAUCGACGAGUGUGAGUUUCAUCCGUGCCUUGAUGACGGUGUAUGUACCAAUAAAGACGGAGGGUUUGACUGCGGUUGCCCACCAGGAACCCAUGGCAACAAUUCCGUACCCGGUGGCUGCACCCCUUUUGUCUCCAUCACACAAGCGGAAGGUGAUAUGUGCGGAAGGAAAUGUGGAGAUGUCGAUGUACUAUACCCGUUUGGCAUCGGUCCGUCCCACUGCUACCGGCCAGGCUUCAACCUCACCUGUGACUACCCAAGCGGCAAGCUCCCUCGGUUAUUACUCGAUAGAUUCGGAAUCUUCCAAGUUCAAGAGAUCUCCCUUCCAGACACCACUCUGCGUGUUACUAGCUCAUUCGCCGUCAUCGAAGCUAACUCCAAAAAUGACUUUGGUUUUGAUUUCAACAACUAUUUCACAAGCCGAGGGGAUGUGCUCUACUCGUUGUCCACCCGUAAUGAGCUCAUCCUUUCAGGGUGUAAUGUUCAGGCGACACUACAUGGGCUUGACAAUGAUGCGUCCAUCAUCAGCGGCUGCACCAGCUUCUGCUCCGAGAGCGAUGUCAGUGCCGGAAGGGUGCCAAUUGCGAGAAACAAGAAUUGCUACGGCAUGGGUUGUUGCCAGGCACGCAUUUCUGAGCCCUUGGAUGGCGGCAUGCCUGGCAUGUUGAGCCUCAAGUUUGCCGACAUGAACAAUUUCCCGGAUAACAUGUCACGACCCCCGUAUGCUCUGAUAGCGGAGGAGGGGUGGUUCGACAAUCGUCUUGUCUCUGACCAACAGACGCGUGCGCUUCAAAACAAGUUGAGAUUUGCGCCAAAGGUUCGUAUUGUUGUAGAUUGGAAAGUGCUGCCAUCUGAAUCAGUAGGCUUACACGACUUACGUGAUCAUGCGAAGUCUUCAUCGGGUCUAAAUUGUACCAUGGACGUAGCUGCUAACAUCUGCAAGAGCAAGCAUAGCAGGUGCAUACCAGCUGGGACGAACACAGGCUAUUCUUGCCAGUGUUGGGAGGGCUACCAAGGCAACCCCUACGAGCCUCAUGGAUGCAAAGGUGACCACAUCUCAUCUAAAGGUAUAUUUGCCGCCAUUAUAGGAGUUUCAUGCGGGACAGGUCUAGUUAUUUUGAUUCUAUCAUCAUACAUUGUUUCAAAGAAAGUGAAGCAUCGGAGAGCACAAGUGUUAAAACAUAAGUUUUUCAAGCAGAAUCAUGGUCAAUUGUUGCAACAACUGGUAGCUCAGAGUGUCGGUAUUGCAGAAAGUAUGAUCAUAACGUUGGAAGAGCUAGAGAAGGCAACACACAAUUUCGACAAUGAUCUUGUGAUUGGUGGUGGAGGGCAUGGUACUGUUUACAAAGGAAUUUUAUCAAAUCAACGUAUUGUAGCCAUCAAGAAACCAAAGAAGGUGGUUCAGAAGGAGAUUGAUGAGUUUAUAAAUGAGGUUGUGAUCUUAUCACAGAUCAACCAUAGGAAUGUGGUAAAACUCUUUGGUUGUUGCCUUGAAACUGAAGUCCCAAUGUUGGUCUAUGAUUUCAUAUCCAAUGGAACACUUUAUGAGCAUCUUCAUGUCGAAGGACCAAGAUCAUUAUCGUGGGGUGACAGACUUCGUAUAGCCAUUGAAACAUCAAAAUCUUUGGCAUAUCUUCACUCAGCCGCUGCAAUACCUAUCAUCCAUAGAGAUGUCAAGUCUGCUAACAUACUUUUGGAUGAUACUCUAACAGCAAAAGUAGCAGACUUUGGAGCAUCAAGGUACAUUCCCAUGGAGAAAUCUGGUUUAGAAACAAGGGCUCAAGGUACAAGAGGAUACUGGGACCCGAUGUACUUUUACACUGGGCGCCUCACGGAGAAAAGUGAUGUUUACAGUUUUGGAGUUGUCCUUGUGGAACUGCUAACCAGGCAGAAACCGUCUUCAUAUUUGUCCUCAAAUGACGAGAGUCUUGUUGUACAUUUUGUUACUUUGUUUGCGGAAGGGAAUUUGCCCCAUAUAUUAGACCCACAAGUCAUCGAGGAAGGAGGCAAAGAAGUCGAAGAAGUGGCUGCUAUUGCCAUAGCAUGUGUAAAAUUAAGUGGAGAGGAUCGUCCAACCAUGAGGCAAGUGGAGUUGACACUAGAAGGCGUCCGUACAUCUGAGGGGCAUGUUUUACAUAAUGCGGUGGCUAAGGAAGCUCACAGUAAUGAUAUUGAAGUAGGUGUUCAAUCUAAUAAAUCAGUUAGAAAAGAUAAUGAGGGGUCGACAAGACAGUAUAGUAUGGAAGAAGAGUUCAUACUAUCUGCAAGUUGUCCUCGGUAG
rnacentral:rRNA from 1 species